rnacentral:rRNA from 1 species
ACGGGUGAGUAACGCGUGGGAAUCUACCGUACCCUACGGAAUAGCUCUGGGAAACUGGAAGUAAUACCGUAUACGCCCUAACGGGGAAAGAUUUAUCGGGGUAUGAUGAGCCCGCGUUGGAUUAGCUAGUUGGUGGGGUAAAGGCCUACCAAGGCGACGAUCCAUAGCUGGUCUGAGAGGAUGAUCAGCCACAUUGGGACUGAGACACGGCCCAAACUCCUACGGGAGGCAGCAGUGGGGAAUAUUGGACAAUGGGCGCAAGCCUGAUCCAGCCAUGCCGCGUGAGUGAUGAAGGUCUUAGGAUUGUAAAGCUCUUUCAACGGUGAAGAUAAUGACGGUAACCGUAGAAGAAGCCCCGGCUAACUUCGUGCCAGCAGCCGCGGUAAUACGAAGGGGGCUAGCGUUGUUCGGAAUUACUGGGCGUAAAGCGCACGUAGGCGGGUAUUUAAGUCAGGGGUGAAAUCCCGCAGCUCAACUGCGGAACUGCCUUUGAUACUGGGUAUCUUGAGUAUGGAAGAGGUAAGUGGAAUUGCGAGUGUAGAGGUGAAAUUCGUAGA